rnacentral:rRNA from 2 species
GGUUAAGCGACUAAGCGUACACGGUGGAUGCCCUGGCAGUCAGAGGCGAUGAAGGGCGUGCUAAUCUGCGAUAAGCGCCGGUAAGGUGAUAUGAACCGUUAUAACCGGCGAUACCCGAAUGGGGAAACCCAGUGUGACUCGUCACACUAUCAUUAACUGAAUCCAUAGGUUAAUGAGGCGAACCGGGGGAACUGAAACAUCUAAGUACCCCGAGGAAAAGAAAUCAACCGAGAUUCCCCCAGUAGCGGCGAGCGAACGGGGAGGAGCCCAGAGCCUGAAUCAGCAUGUGUGUUAGUGGAAGCGUCUGGAAAGGCGCGCGAUACAGGGUGACAGCCCCGUACACAAAAGCGCAUGUGCUGUGAGCUCGAUGAGUAGGGCGGGACACGUGGUAUCCUGUCUGAAUAUGGGGGGACCAUCCUCCAAGGCUAAAUACUCCUGACUGACCGAUAGUGAACCAGUACCGUGAGGGAAAGGCGAAAAGAACCCCGGCGAGGGGAGUGAAAAAGAACCUGAAACCGUGUACGUACAAGCAGUGGGAGCACAGGUUUACCUGUGUGACUGCGUACCUUUUGUAUAAUGGGUCAGCGACUUAUAUUCUGUAGCAAGGUUAACCGAAUAGGGGAGCCGGAGGGAAACCGAGUCUUAACUGGGCGUUAAGUUGCAGGGUAUAGACCCGAAACCCGGUGAUCUAGCCAUGGGCAGGUUGAAGGUUGGGUAACACUAACUGGAGGACCGAACCGACUAAUGUUGAAAAAUUAGCGGAUGACCUGUGGCUGGGGGUGAAAGGCCAAUCAAACCGGGAGAUAGCUGGUUCUCCCCGAAAGCUAUUUAGGUAGCGCCUCGUGAAUUCAUCUCCGGGGGUAGAGCACUGUUUCGGCUAGGGGGCCAUCCCGGCUUACCAACCCGAUGCAAACUGCGAAUACCGGAGAAUGUUAUCACGGGAGACACACGGCGGGUGCUAACGUCCGUCGUGAAGAGGGAAACAACCCAGACCGCCAGCUAAGGUCCCAAAGUCAUGGUUAAGUGGGAAACGAUGUGGGAAGGCCCAGACAGCCAGGAUGUUGGCUUAGAAGCAGCCAUCAUUUAAAGAAAGCGUAAUAGCUCACUGGUCGAGUCGGCCUGCGCGGAAGAUGUAACGGGGCUAAACCAUGCACCGAAGCUGCGGCAGCGACACUGUGUGUUGUUGGGUAGGGGAGCGUUCUGUAAGCCUGCGAAGGUGGCCUGUGAGGGUUGCUGGAGGUAUCAGAAGUGCGAAUGCUGACAUAAGUAACGAUAAAGCGGGUGAAAAGCCCGCUCGCCGGAAGACCAAGGGUUCCUGUCCAACGUUAAUCGGGGCAGGGUGAGUCGACCCCUAAGGCGAGGCCGAAAGGCGUAGUCGAUGGGAAACGGGUUAAUAUUCCCGUACUUGGUGUUACUGCGAAGGGGGGACGGAGAAGGCUAUGUUGGCCGGGCGACGGUUGUCCCGGUUUAAGCGUGUAGGUGUGUGUUCCAGGUAAAUCCGGUUCACUUUAACACUGAGGCGUGACGACGAGGCACUACGGUGCUGAAGCAACAAAUGCCCUGCUUCCAGGAAAAGCCUCUAAGCAUCAGGUAACAUCAAAUCGUACCCCAAACCGACACAGGUGGUCAGGUAGAGAAUACCAAGGCGCUUGAGAGAACUCGGGUGAAGGAACUAGGCAAAAUGGUGCCGUAACUUCGGGAGAAGGCACGCUGACACGUAGGUGAAGUGAUUUACUCAUGGAGCUGAAGUCAGUCGAAGAUACCAGCUGGCUGCAACUGUUUAUUAAAAACACAGCACUGUGCAAACACGAAAGUGGACGUAUACGGUGUGACGCCUGCCCGGUGCCGGAAGGUUAAUUGAUGGGGUCAGCGCAAGCGAAGCUCCUGAUCGAAGCCCCGGUAAACGGCGGCCGUAACUAUAACGGUCCUAAGGUAGCGAAAUUCCUUGUCGGGUAAGUUCCGACCUGCACGAAUGGCGUAAUGAUGGCCAGGCUGUCUCCACCCGAGACUCAGUGAAAUUGAACUCGCUGUGAAGAUGCAGUGUACCCGCGGCAAGACGGAAAGACCCCGUGAACCUUUACUAUAGCUUGACACUGAACAUUGAGCCUUGAUGUGUAGGAUAGGUGGGAGGCUUUGAAGUGUGGACGCCAGUCUGCAUGGAGCCGACCUUGAAAUACCACCCUUUAAUGUUUGAUGUUCUAACGUGGACCCGUAAUCCGGGUUGCGGACAGUGUCUGGUGGGUAGUUUGACUGGGGCGGUCUCCUCCUAAAGAGUAACGGAGGAGCACGAAGGUUGGCUAAUCCUGGUCGGACAUCAGGAGGUUAGUGCAAUGGCAUAAGCCAGCUUGACUGCGAGCGUGACGGCGCGAGCAGGUGCGAAAGCAGGUCAUAGUGAUCCGGUGGUUCUGAAUGGAAGGGCCAUCGCUCAACGGAUAAAAGGUACUCCGGGGAUAACAGGCUGAUACCGCCCAAGAGUUCAUAUCGACGGCGGUGUUUGGCACCUCGAUGUCGGCUCAUCACAUCCUGGGGCUGAAGUAGGUCCCAAGGGUAUGGCUGUUCGCCAUUUAAAGUGGUACGCGAGCUGGGUUUAGAACGUCGUGAGACAGUUCGGUCCCUAUCUGCCGUGGGCGCUGGAGAACUGAGGGGGGCUGCUCCUAGUACGAGAGGACCGGAGUGGACGCAUCACUGGUGUUCGGGUUGUCAUGCCAAUGGCACUGCCCGGUAGCUAAAUGCGGAAGAGAUAAGUGCUGAAAGCAUCUAAGCACGAAACUUGCCCCGAGAUGAGUUCUCCCUGAGACUUAGAGUCUCCUGAAGGAACGUUGAAGACGACGACGUUGAUAGGCCGGGUGUGUAAGCGCAGCGAUGCGUUGAGCUAACCGGUACUAAUGAACCGUGAGGCUUAACCUU